AUCCUGCUGAAAGUGAUGUAGAAGAGCAAUUUUUUAAUUGCCAACAAUGUGGGAAGCGUUUUCGUGCCGAAUCUUUGUUGAAAUUCCAUCUUCGAAUGCAUGGUUCGGAGCCUUCCUCGAAUGAGUCGGCUGAAUUUGCAGCUGUUCCAAAUAGUAACAGAGUUUGUAAUGAAGAGGAAUCAUCUUCAAGCUCUAGUGAAAGAUCAGCUGAUGUAAGAGAGAAAAGUAUUCCCAGAAAUAUGCACCAAAAGUUCCGACUCUUACAGGCUGAAGCUUCGAAGGAAAAAACGUGCUGUUCGUCGCCGUCAUAAAACUCCUUCUUCUUAAUUGGGUUCCAAAACUUUGUUUCCAUGAGAAUGAUUUCAUAUUUGUGUAUCUUUUGUUUUCAAUUGAAGUUAUUUUGAAAUGGCAAAAAGUUUGUGUAAAUAUUGUAUGUAUGUUGCUGUAAUUUUUUUUUUCCUUUUUGUCAAAAAGAUUUCCUGUUAAAAUGUUGUGAAUAAAUGUAGUACACUUUUAAAUGUUUUUAAUUAAGCCAUGAUAUAUAAAUAGCAUUUAAAUCAGUAUUGAAAGGAUAAUCCACUACUUAAGUGGGUUGGUUAUUGAUGAAACAUUUAUUUCUGACAAAGUGACUUUUUCUGGAAUAAAGAAAAUAAUUGAAGUAAUUUUAAUCAGUAUCUUUAAUAAGAAUAAAAUUGCUAUCUGGAGAUA